rnacentral:rRNA from 1 species
CCUACGGGAGGCAGCAGUGAGGAAUAUUGGUCAAUGGACGAGAGUCUGAACCAGCCAAGUCGCGUGAAGGAUGACUGCCCUCUGGGUUGUAAACUUCUUUUAUAUGGGAAUAAAAUGUUCCACGUGUGGGAUUUUGUAUGUACCAUAUGAAUAAGGAUCCGCUAACUCCGGGCCAGUAGCCGCGGUAAUACGGAGGUUCCGAGCGUUAUUCGGAUUUAUUGGGUUUAAAGGGCGCGUAGGUGGAUUGUUAAGUCAGUUGGGAAAGUUUGGGGCUCAACCGUAAAAUUGCAGUUGAAACUGGCAGUCUUGAGUACAGUAGAGGUAGGCGGAAUUCGUGGUGUAGCGGUGAAAUGCGUAGAUAUCACGAAGAACUCCGAUUGCGAAGGCAGCUCGCUGGACUGCAACUGACGCUGAGGCUCGAAAGUGUGGGUAUCAAACAGGAUUAGAUACCCGAGUAGUC